rnacentral:rRNA from 1 species
UCGAGCGGCGGACGGGUGAGUAAUGCCUAGGAAAUUGCCCUGAUGUGGGGGAUAACCAUUGGAAACGAUGGCUAAUACCGCAUAAUGCCUACGGGCCAAAGAGGGGGACCUUCGGGCCUCUCGCGUCAGGAUAUGCCUAGGUGGGAUUAGCUAGUUGGUGAGGUAAGGGCUCACCAAGGCGACGAUCCCUAGCUGGUCUGAGAGGAUGAUCAGCCACACUGGAACUGAGACACGGUCCAGACUCCUACGGGAGGCAGCAGUGGGGAAUAUUGCACAAUGGGCGCAAGCCUGAUGCAGCCAUGCCGCGUGUGUGAAGAAGGCCUUCGGGUUGUAAAGCACUUUCAGUCGUGAGGAAGGUAGUGUAGUUAAUAGCUGCAUUAUUUGACGUUAGCGACAGAAGAAGCACCGGCUAACUCCGUGCCAGCAGCCGCGGUAAUACGGAGGGUGCGAGCGUUAAUCGGAAUUACUGGGCGUAAAGC